GAUGAACGCUGGCGGCGUGCCUAAUACAUGCAAGUCGAGCGAACGGACGAGAAUCUUGCUUCACUGAUGUUAGCGGCGGACGGGUAAGUAACACGUGGAUAACCUACCUAUAAGACUGAGAUAAAUUCGGGAAACCGGAGCUAAUACCGGAUAAUAUUGUGAACCGCAUGGUUCAGAAGAGAAAGACGGUCUGGCUGUCACUUAUAGAUGGAUCCGCGCUGCAUUAGCUAGUUGGUAAGGUAACGGCUUACCAAGGCAACGAUGCAUAGCCGACCUGAGAGGGUGAUGGGCGACACUGGGACUGAGAGGCGGUCCUGACUCCUACGGGAGGCAGAAGUAGGUAAUCUUCCGAAAUGGGCGGAAGACUGACGGAGCAACGCCGCGUGAGUGAUGAAGGGCUUCGGAUCGUAAAACUCUGUUAUUAGGGAAGAACAUAUGUGUAAGUAACUGUGCACAGCUUGACGGUACCUAAUCAGAAAGCAACGGCUAACUACGUG
rnacentral:rRNA from 1 species